CCGGCACCGGUUCACCCCGAACGGGGACCCGGGGCC
rnacentral:ncRNA from 1 species